UACUCACAUAAGUUUCACUGCAACAAUUCCAGAAGCAGUUAUGCGAUGAAAAGUUUUGAUCUUUAAAAUUCAUUUAGAGUGAAUCGGAAGAGCUGUGCGAGUUAUUAGAUUGCUAAAAUAGCUAUUCUUCAUUAGUCUCAAAGUUGAGUUGAAAUCGUUUCAAACUCUUGCACUAAAGAGCCCAAGAAUGUGGAUUCACUUUAACUGGGAAAUAAUGCUACUUUCUCGUAACGGCUGAUUAUAUUUUACAAGAAAAUAUCGACUUCCCAGUGACACCGAAAGUACGUGAACAUUUUCAACCAACCCUACCGCCACUGGUUGUACAAUGUGCAAUAUUACUCUUCAGGAUUUGGAUGUUACACACAACUUUGACCAGAGAUAGCUGUCAAAUGAUCCCUUUUGAUUGACACACACCCGAGAGUGAUAUUUCUAAAGUCGGCUGACCAAGUUCUUUCACAGGAAAUUUGGUGAACGAAAACUAUGUGGAAGUAUGAGAAACUUCCAUUUAGUUUCCGUUUAUCAAUCAUUAAUCAUUAAUAUACUAGACACUAAAGCAGAGAAAACUUACCCAAAGUGUUGUACGUUAUGAUUGAACUCGAAACCAUACCAGUGUAAAGCGAAUUUCUUAACUACACAUCCAAUUCUAAUUUUUAACUCUUCAUGCUGAAGCGCUACCCUGAAGGAAUUUUUGUCAAUUACAUCGGAAUCAACAGAAUUUCAAUCGGGUACUUGCUUUAUUAAUUGUACACGUCAAACCACUAAAUCACUGGAUAUUAA
rnacentral:lncRNA from 1 species